UGGCCUGUGAGGGUUGCUGGAGGUAUCAGAAGUGCGAAUGCUGACAUAAGUAACGAUAAAGCGGGUGAAAAGCCCGCUCGCCGGAAGACCAAGGGUUCCUGUCCAACGUUAAUCGGGGCAGGGUGAGUCGACCCCUAAGGCGAGGCCGAAAGGCGUAGUCGAUGGGAAACGGGUUAAUAUUCCCGUACUUGGUGUUACUGCGAAGGGGGGACGGAGAAGGCUAUGUUGGCCGGGCGACGGUUGUCCCGGUUUAAGCGUGUAGGUGUGUGUUCCAGGUAAAUCCGGUUCACUUUAACACUGAGGCGUGACGACGAGGCACUACGGUGCUGAAGCAACAAAUGCCCUGCUUCCAGGAAAAGCCUCUAAGCAUCAGGUAACAUCAAAUCGUACCCCAAACCGACACAGGUGGUCAGGUAGAGAAUACCAAGGCGCUUGAGAGAACUCGGGUGAAGGAACUAGGCAAAAUGGUGCCGUAACU
rnacentral:rRNA from 1 species